rnacentral:telomerase_RNA from 1 species
CGUGGGGAUCAUUGGUGAAUCAUACAAACGUUUGAUUUCAUUGAACCUAACCUAACUCAAGGAGGCGAAGAAAGGUUUUUUUGCUCUCUUUUUUUCAACCUGAAAAAUAAAGAGUUAUACGUCCCCACCACCACAAACUAUUCCACAAAAUUAAAUAUCUAAGAAUGAAUAUUCUUUU